UGUGGGAUUGGAGCCCCACACAGAGUCUCUAUUGGGGCACAGCCUAGUGGAGCUGUGAGAAGAGGGCCACUGUACUCCAGAACUCAGAGUAGUAGAUCCACCAACAGCUUCACCAUGUGCCUGGAAAAGCUGCAGACCCUCAACACCAGCUUGUGAAAGCAGCCAGGAGGGAGGAUGUACCCUGCAAAGCCACAGGAGCAGAACUGCCCAAGACGAUGGGAACUCACCCCUUGCAUCAGCGUGACCUGGAUGUGAGACCUGGAGUCAAAGGAGAUCAUCUUGGAGCUUUAAAAAAUUUGACUACACUGCUGGAUUUUGGAUUUGCAUGGGCCCUGUAACCCCUUUGUUUUGGCCAAUUUCUCCCAUUUGGAAUGGCUGUAUUUACCCAAUACCCGUACCCCCAUUUGUAUCUAGGAAGUAACUAGCUUGCUUUUGAUUUUACAGGCUCAUAGGAGGAAGAGACUUGCCUUGUCUCAGAUGAGACUUUGGACUGUGGACUUUUGGGUUAAUGCUGAAAUGAGUUAAGACUUUGGGGGACUGUUGGGAAGGCAUUAUUGGUUUUGAAAUGUGAGAAAAUGAGAUUUGGAGGGGCCAGGGGCGGAAUGAUAUGGUUUGACUGUGUCCCCACCCAAAUCUCAACUUGAAUUGUAUCUCCCAGAAUUCCCACGUGUUGUGGGAGGGACCCAGGGGAAGUAAUUGAAUCAUGGGGGCUGAUCUUUCCUGUGCUAUUCUUGUGAUAGUGAAUAAGUCCCACAAGAUGUGACAGGUUUAUCAGGGGUUUCUGCUUUUGCUUUCUCCUCAGUUUCUCUUGCUCCUGCCAUGUAAGAAGUGCCUUUCACUUCCGGCCAUGAUUCUGAGGCCUCCCCAGCUGUGUGGAACUAAUAUGGCAGAUAUAACAGCACGUAAUUUCCAAGGCAAGGUCAUAAAAGACAUUGUAGCUUCUGCCUUGCCCCUUCCUCUUGGAUCUCUUGCUAUGGAGUAGCAGCCCCAUGAAGAGACCCGUGGUGGAAGAUCACUGAGGACUCCUGCCAACAGCCACUCAGUGACUGAGGCCUCUUGCAGAAAUCCAUAUGAGUGGGCCAGCUGACAAGAAAAUCUUCCAGCUCUAGUCAAGCCUUCAGGUGAGCAAUGAGACUUAUGGAAACAAAUCUGCCUAAUGCCAUUUAGCUAGUAAACAUAAAGAGAAGUCCAGAACCUAGCCCUCUUUGACCUCUCUGCCCACACUCUCAGCUACUAGAGGAUGGAGACUGGCAGAAGAAAAGCAGAAGAUUCUGGAGUCCAGAACACCAGCUCUUAGUGCCAGGAACUGCCAGGUAAGAAUUCUGACUACACUGAGGCCACCAUGCUCUGAGGAAGUCAAGCCAGAUGGAAAGAUCACAGCAGGAGAACUGGUCAGCAGUCAUACUCUUGAACUCAUCCCAACCCAGACUCCAGACAUGUGAAUGGACAAGUCUUCAGAUGAUUCCAGCACAAAGCCAUUGAGUCACCUCCAGCCAUUGAGUGUCCCCAGCCGAGACACCAGUCACCAUCAAGCAGAGCCAGUAUGCCUGUUAUGCCUGUCCAAAUUCUUGACCCACUAAAUUCUAUGAAAUUAAUAAAUGGUUGUUUAAGUUACUAAAUUUUAAACAAUUUGUUAUGCAGUAAUAGGAAUUGUUCCUGUCUGUGAGCAAGUCCUCAUGGACAAUAAACUCAGAUCUGUCUGUGGAAUCUGGGAGAAAAAGAGACUGGUAUCUUUCCCCAUGGUACGGCCCCAGAAAGAUAAAAGUCUCAGAAUAAAACACCGUACAUGCAUAGCUCAUUUUAUUGGGCUUUGUUUAUUGCAUCUCACAAACGUUACGCUUUUUACAAACUGAAGGUUUGUGGCAACCCUGUGUCUAUUGAGCAAGUCUACCAGCACUAUUUUUCCAACAGUAUGUGCUUGCUUUGUGUCUCUGUCUCACAUUUUCGUAAUUCUCACAAUAUUUUAAACUCGUUGAUUAUGAUUAUAUCUGUUAUGGUGAUCUGUGAUCAGUGACUUUUGAUGGUA